ensembl:lncRNA
UCUCUUCCAGCACGUGAUCCACCAUGGCUCAUUGACUUCUCCUGAUGGGAGCUUUCGGAAUCUCCAGCAGAGGGAGGCCCUGUUGCUUCAUCAGGCCGACUUAUUCAUAUUCUCAACUGCCUUGGCCUAGCCAGUAGGGCUUAAUGGUGACCCACCAUCCUCUGUUCUUCAUGACAAAUCCUGGUCAUCUCAUUCAACACAUCCCUUCCUUCUCUUACGUUGAGGGAUGGGGAAGUUAACCAAGCCAGGUUGGGAAGUGAGUGGACAGAUGCUGUACUAUGCCCACCUUUCCAGGCUCAUCUCAGUUUUAUUUCUCUCUGCCAUUUGCAUCUGCCAGAAGGUGACACUUCAAAUGUCUGAGUCCUCAGUGGGGGGCAGCAUACUGCUUGACAGGCAGCCUCGGGCUUUUUCACCAGUUGAAUGCAGCUUGUAUGCAGUUUCUGCUUAGAUUGCCUAUGUUAAUUAUCUCCUCAGCACCUCUGCCUCUUUGUUGGGAGCUGCAAGCCACAGAGACCAGCUCCAUUUUCAACUUCCCGCAAGUAGCUCUGAAUUUCUUUUUAAAAGAGGUACUCCUGCUAGUGUCUUCCCCUGGCUCUUUCUAACUUGCUCAUUUAGGUUCCUUCCUUCCAAUGAGAGUCUUUAUUUUAUCAUCUGACUUCUAAGGGAACUGAGUUUUUAUUCCUUCUGAAUAGCCAUGAAACAAAACAGAAAAAGAGUCUAUCCCCCAAAGGAACUGUGUGUUGUAAAAGCAAGGACUGGACGCUUCUGGUCAACGUGGUACACUGAGGUGACAGAGAGUGACUACUCUCACAGCCCCACCCCUCUCCAAAUACAUGAGAAUGCUGGAUAAAAUACAACAAAAGAAAAUUUUUAAAUGUAGCUAAGCUCUAUGUUGCCAACAUCUGUUGGAUCAUAGAAGAAGCAAGAGAAUUCCAGGAAAGCACCUACUUCUGCUUCAUUAACUACACUAAAGCCUUUGUCUGUGUGGAUCACAACAAACUGUGGGAAAUUCUUAAAGAGAUGGGAACACCAGACCACCUGACCUGCCUCCUGAGAAACCUGGGUGCAGGUCAAGAAGCAACAGAACCAGACAUGGAAACAGACUGGUUCAAAAUUGGGAAAGGAGUUCAUCAAGGCUGUAUAUAGUCACCUUGCUUAUUUA